ncrna:unclassified sequences M23 RNA
CGGCGUGCCGCGGGCCGGAAAACGCGCGGCGGCCGGCCGUGCGCCGGCCCGGAAAGG